rnacentral:rRNA from 1 species
UACGUAGGGUCCGAGCGUUGUCCGGAAUUAUUGGGCGUAAAGAGCUCGUAGGCGGUUUGUCGCGUCUGCUGUGAAAUCCCGAGGCUCAACCUCGGGUCUGCAGUGGGUACGGGCAGACUGGAGUGCGGUAGGGGAGAAUGGAAUUCCUGGUGUAGCGGUGGAAUGCGCAGAUAUCAGGAGGAACACCGAUGGCGAAGGCAGGUCUCUGGGCCAUUACUGACACUGAGAAGCGAAAGCAUGGGGAGCGAACAGG